rnacentral:tRNA from 1 species
AAAUACUUAUUCUAAAAAAGACAAUUGAUUUCGACUCAAUUAAUUUUGGAUUAACCCCAAAAGUAUUUU